GUUAAAACGGGGCCCUUUUACCUCUGUGAAAGGAAAAACCCUCAACCAUCCCCAAGCAGCGUGAGUGGAUGCAGUACCAGCACUGCCCAGUACAGCGCUGAUCUUCCUACCAGAUAUACCUGUACUGUAACCACGCCCUCAGGUGUGUCGCUGGGUCACCACGCCUCUUCCAGAUAGACAUCCCCCGUGACCACGCCCAUUCCAGGUAGAUCAGAAAGAUGGCGGCCAGGGUAACAAGGAACAGUCCACCCUGCCGCAGGUCCCAUCUCUCCAGAGCUGGGGCUGGGAGCCCUGUCCUUUUCCAGCCCUCAAACACAAUCUACUAAAGCACUGAGAGCUGCUCUUUUACACCAUGGCUUUGCAAUCACAAUCCUGGGGUUUCCUCUCCUGCCCCAAACCAGGAUCCCGUCCGUUCUCCCGAGUCUGGGGUCCUGAAGGAAGCAGAUUGAGGCAUGGAGUCCCAUGGAACAAGAGGUGCUGUGUAUUCUGAAGUCUUGGUGAUGCGCUAUCCUGAAUCGACACACAGAUUUUGGAGAGUUCCAGGAAUGUCACGGCUGUCUGGAUAUAAAGGCUGAUUGAUCCACAGAAAAAAGUGCAACCAACGCAACGAUUGGAUCCGCUUUGUCAAAAAAUACACGCUUCAUGUUCCGCAGCGUCGCUCCGGUAAAUUCUGCAAGUCAAAACAAGCGGAUCGAUUGACAAACCAGCUGUGCAAAUUUUUGUCUUCCCCAUGUGCGUGUGUAGAGUAUUUGGUUUUUCAAAUAAAGAUUGGA